GUUAAUAGCAGAGAGCCUCUUAUCAGGUAUGUAUGAAUUUGAAGUCUAUAAUGUUAUGGAUACAAAUUAAAUAAGGAACAUAAUUCAAGUACAAGAAAGACCAUUUAAAGUUUUAAGUUAUGUUUCUCUAUUUGAUGGCCUAGGGUUAGGGUUAGGCAACCCAUACGGUACAUCAACUCACCACUCAACUUUCCCACCCUGGAUGGGGAACACACCAGAGUGGGAACCAUCCUUCCUAAAACAGAGUGCAAAAAAGCGCUAACAAAGACUACAGAACAUAGAACUCAACCCAUAAAGGAAAUAAAUGAGGACAUCAUACUGCAAAUCUUGCAUUCCAAAAAGGUUAAUUGAUAUAAUUAUUGCUUUAUGCCCUUUCAGUAUCUACAGAUAAUCUUUUGUCCAUAUUUAAAAAUGUAAAUUCUCUAUUUCCAGUGUCCUAAAAAGGAUCUCCAGGAUGCUUGUCUUGCUCUGGGUGUCUCCUCUGAAGGGUCCAUAGCAGAUUUGACAAACAGACUUCAGGAGCUGUUGAAUUUCAAAGAUGUUUACCCAAAGCUUUUCAUAAAACUACAAAAAGCUGGUGGUGGUGUUCUCCAUUUCUCAUGUAUGCAUGGAGUUGUCUAUUAUGUGAACUUCCUCUUCUGGAUGGAGUCUGCAAGAGACCACUGUGACGGACUGCUCAGUUUCAAGAUUCCCGACAUGUUACAUAGCUGAUGUAGCUGGACAGGUCCCACUAACAACCGCACAAAUCAAUUAUGUUUCAAGCCGCAUGACGGGAGACUCUGUUCACCUGCCCAGGACGAUCUAACUAAAGCAAAGACCAAAGAACUACAAGUUGAAGUGGAUUGGGUAAAACAACUGAGAUGUCCUUUGCCACAACAACCAGAGGCAAACGUGGAAAGAAUGUCAGCUAAACACCCAGUCACAGGAACGUCUGAAAGGUUUUCUCUGUAUGACAGGUUUCAUCAAAAAAAUCAAAAACGUCAAGAAGAAAAGCUGAGAAGCCUCAACAUUUGCCCUGCCCUCAGAAAAGAAAUCAACUCUGCCGUAGCAGAACAGUUUAAUCGUGACCUUGCCUCUGUGAGGUAUUCAUUAUGCCAAAUGACUGAAACACAUUUCAAGCAGACUGUCAGGGUCUUGAUAGAAUUGCACAACAAUAACAUAAACACGCAGUUCAAAUCAGAAAUGGAGACCCUGUGUAAUGCCCCACUGUCUUUGGGACUGAGUGGCAUGUUGGGACUGCAGCCUACAGGUGUUUGACUUUCACUAUACUGCAUUAUCAGUGAUGAAGACAUGAAUCUACUGAGGAAUGUCUUCAGGUCUUCCGGUGGGCUUGAAGGCUGGACUGUGGUUUAUCCUCCACAGUGGAAGCAGCAAGACUCUGUGAACUGUGGCGUACUUGUGUGCUCAGCGAGCGUCUGUGAUCCUAACUGGUUUUACAACUGAUGUUUCAACCAUAUUCCAUAUAUUUUCUCUAAAAAGGCUGUUGAAAAUGUAGUUAAACAGCGUGAAUCCAUGUCAGAAGCAUUGACAGUGAACCAGUGCAGGACUCUUCGUCUGCACCAUGCCACCCAAAACAUUAAUCCUGAGGAUUUCCCACCAACUAAUCAAGAAAUGUUGGCUAUAAAACAAAAGGAAGUUAAGCUUCAAGGAACAGAAAUAAAAGCCCUGACUCCAGCAUCCACUGCCUGUCCUGGAGGAUUAGGACAUGCCUGUUUCAAAGGGCAACUGGAAAGAACAGGAAGAAGAUUAUGGAGGGAGUCUAUGCAGAUGACAUUCUGACAGAUUUAGAGAUUAAGGACUUGGAAAGAAACCUGCAGACCGACCACAUUCUUUUGAACAGAAUGUAUCUGUGGAAGCACAAAGGAUUUGACCCAAGUCUCAGAAAACACUACAGUGAGCAUGUAACCGUAUUUGAUGACAUGACGACUGAAACAAUCAUCCAGCGUUUGGAAAGAGUCCUGUCACUUUCAGGAACUACAUCUGUGGAUCCUCAUUUCAUAACAGAUGUUAUUCUG